rnacentral:rRNA from 1 species
GGGUUGUGAGGUUAAGCGACUAAGCGUACACGGUGGAUGCCCUGGCAGUCAGAGGCGAUGAAGGACGUGCUAAUCUGCGAAAAGCGUCGGUAAGGUGAUAUGAACCGUUACAGCCGGCGAUGUCCGAAUGGGGAAACCCAGUGCAAUUCGUUGCACUAUCGUUAACUGAAUACAUAGGUUAACGAGGCGAACCGGGGGAACUGAAACAUCUAAGUACCCCGAGGAAAAGAAAUCAACCGAGAUUCCCCCAGUAGCGGCGAGCGAACGGGGAGCAGCCCGGAGUCUGAAUCAGCUUGUGUGUUAGUGGAAGCGUCUGGAAAGUCGCAGGGUACAGGGUGAUACUCCCGUACACUAAAACACACAGGUUGUGAACUCGAAGAGUAGGGCGGGACACGUGGUAUCCUGUCUGAAUAUGGGGGACCAUCCUCCAAGGCUAAAUACUCCUGACUGACCGAUAGUGAACCAGUACCGUGAGGGAAAGGCGAAAAGAACCCCGGCGAGGGGAGUGAAAAAGAACCUGAAACCGUGUACGUACAAGCAGUAGGAGCCCCACCACCAAAGCGUUUCGCUUUGCGUGGUGCGCAAAAUGCGUAACGACAGCAUGAUGGACGGUUAACGGAGCGUCAGCGACGUUCAACCUCAAAAAUCAGGCAGUGGAGCGUUUUGGGGUGGGGUGACUGCGUACCUUUUGUAUAAUGGGUCAGCGACUUAUAUUCUGUAGCAAGGUUAACCGUAUAGGGGAGCCGCAGGGAAACCGAGUCUUAACUGGGCGUUAAGUUGCAGGGUAUAGACCCGAAACCCGGUGAUCUAGCCAUGGGCAGGUUGAAGGUUGGGUAACACUAACUGGAGGACCGAACCGACUAAUGUUGAAAAAUUAGCGGAUGACUUGUGGCUGGGGGUGAAAGGCCAAUCAAACCGGGAGAUAGCUGGUUCUCCCCGAAAGCUAUUUAGGUAGCGCCUCGUGAAUUCAUCUUCGGGGGUAGAGCACUGUUUCGGCUAGGGGGUCAUCCCGACUUACCAACCCGAUGCAAACUACGAAUACCGAAGAAUGUUAUCACGGGAGACACACGGCGGGUGCUAACGUCCGUCGUGAAGAGGGAAACAACCCAGACCGCCAGCUAAGGUCCCAAAGUCAUGGUUAAGUGGGAAACGAUGUGGGAAGGCCCAGACAGCCAGGAUGUUGGCUUAGAAGCAGCCAUCAUUUAAAGAAAGCGUAAUAGCUCACUGGUCGAGUCGGCCUGCGCGGAAGAUGUAACGGGGCUAAACCAUGCACCGAAGCUGCGGCAGCGACACUAUGUGUUGUUGGGUAGGGGAGCGUUCUGUAAGCCGUUGAAGGUGGCCUGUGAGGGUUGCUGGAGGUAUCAGAAGUGCGAAUGCUGACAUAAGUAACGAUAAUGCGGGUGAAAAACCCGCACGCCGGAAGACCAAGGGUUCCUGUCCAACGUUAAUCGGGGCAGGGUGAGUCGACCCCUAAGGCGAGGCCGAAAGGCGUAGUCGAUGGGAAACAGGUUAAUAUUCCUGUACUUGGUGUUACUGCGAAGGGGGGACGGAGAAGGCUAUGUUGGCCGGGCGACGGUUGUCCCGGUUUAAGCAUGUAGGCGGAUGUUCCAGGUAAAUCCGGAACGUUAUUAACGCUGAGGUGUGAUGACGAGGCACUACGGUGCUGAAGUGACAAAUGCCCUGCUUCCAGGAAAAGCCUCUAAGCAUCAGGUAACAUCAAAUCGUACCCCAAACCGACACAGGUGGUCAGGUAGAGAAUACCAAGGCGCUUGAGAGAACUCGGGUGAAGGAACUAGGCAAAAUGGUGCCGUAACUUCGGGAGAAGGCACGCUGAUGGUAGGUGAAGUGACUUGCUCAUGGAGCUGAAAUCAGUCGAAGAUACCAGCUGGCUGCAACUGUUUAUUAAAAACACAGCACUGUGCAAACACGAAAGUGGACGUAUACGGUGUGACGCCUGCCCGGUGCCGGAAGGUUAAUUGAUGGGGUUAUCCUCGCGGAGAAGCUCUUGAUCGAAGCCCCGGUAAACGGCGGCCGUAACUAUAACGGUCCUAAGGUAGCGAAAUUCCUUGUCGGGUAAGUUCCGACCUGCACGAAUGGCGUAAUGAUGGCCAGGCUGUCUCCACCCGAGACUCAGUGAAAUUGAACUCGCUGUGAAGAUGCAGUGUACCCGCGGCAAGACGGAAAGACCCCGUGAACCUUUACUAUAGCUUGACACUGAACACUGGUCCUUGAUGUGUAGGAUAGGUGGGAGGCUUUGAAGUGUGGACGCCAGUCUGCAUGGAGCCAUCCUUGAAAUACCACCCUUUAAUGGCUGGUGUUCUAACGUGGGCCCGUGAUCCGGGUUGCGGACAGUGUCUGGUGGGUAGUUUGACUGGGGCGGUCUCCUCCUAAAGAGUAACGGAGGAGCACGAAGGUCAGCUAAUCCUGGUCGGACAUCAGGAGGUUAGUGCAAUGGCAUAAGCUGGCUUGACUGCGAGCGUGACGGCGCGAGCAGGUGCGAAAGCAGGUCAUAGUGAUCCGGUGGUUCUGAAUGGAAGGGCCAUCGCUCAACGGAUAAAAGGUACUCCGGGGAUAACAGGCUGAUACCGCCCAAGAGUUCAUAUCGACGGCGGUGUUUGGCACCUCGAUGUCGGCUCAUCACAUCCUGGGGCUGAAGUAGGUCCCAAGGGUAUGGCUGUUCGCCAUUUAAAGUGGUACGCGAGCUGGGUUUAGAACGUCGUGAGACAGUUCGGUCCCUAUCUGCCGUGGGCGCUGGAGAAUUGAGGGGGGCUGCUCCUAGUACGAGAGGACCGGAGUGGACGCAUCACUGGUGUUCGGGUUGUCAUGCCAAUGGCAUUGCCCGGUAGCUAAAUGCGGAAGAGAUAAGUGCUGAAAGCAUCUAAGCACGAAACUUGCCCCGAGAUGAGUUCUCCCUGACCCUUUAAGGGUCCUGAAGGAACGUUGAAGACGACGACGUUGAUAGGCCGGGUGUGUAAGCGCAGCGAUGCGUUGAGCUAACCGGUACUAAUGAACCGUGAGGCUUAACCUUACAACGCCGAAG